rnacentral:rRNA from 1 species
AUUGAACGCUAGCGGGAUGCCUUACACAUGCAAGUCGAACGGAGUGGCGAACGGGUGAGUAAUGUAUCGGAACGUGCCCAGUAGCGGGGGAUAACUACGCGAAAGCGUAGCUAAUAACGCAUACUAUUGGAGCGGCCGAUCUCGGAUUAGCUAGUUGGUGGGGUAACGGCUCACCAAGGCGACGAUCCGUAGCUGGUUUGCGAGGACGACCAGCCACACUGGGACGGAGACACGGCCCAGACUCCGACGUGAUGCAGCAGUGGGGAAUGUUGGACAAUGGGGGAAACCCUGACCCAGCAAGCCCGCGUGUGCGAUGAAGGCAUUCGGGUUGUAAAGCACUUUUGGCAGGAAAGCGGUACCUGCAGAAUAAGCACCGGCUAACUACGUGCCAGCAGCCGCGGUAAUAC